CUGAGGAGCUCCAGGAAAUGAAGUAGAAGAAGAAAUGCCUAGAGGAUCAGUUCUCAACCAGGGGACAUAUGGCCUAAUAUAGUUCAAGGGGUCCACAAGUGAAAAGCAUGUUAACAGUACCAUGGCACAUGCCAAGUGGUGGAACAGAAAAGCAAAGUAUAUUAUAUUACUGCUUUACAGAAGAAAACGCAGCAGUCCCAUGUCUGUACUCAGUAACAAGACCUGUUUGGGAUGGGAGAAACAGGAGAAAAUUGGGCAGAGUAGAUACUCUAUAGACCGAUUCUAUAGAACCGGUAGUAAAACCGGUGGGAGGCUCCGCCCACUGACCCUGACAUCAUCAGAAGUGAUCUGCGCAUGCGCAGAAGCAAGGCGCAUGUGCAGAAGCAAGGUGCACAUGCAGAAGCAAGGCACACACGCAGAAGCAAGGCGCACAUGCAAUCCCAUUGCAAACCGGUAGUAAAGGCCUUUCCAUGUGUUAGAAGACACACAAGAGUGCAAAGGAAAAGAUGCCUUCUAAUGGAGAACCAUUGCAUAUAUAAAGCUGACCAAGUCCAUCUUGAGGAGAGAGGGGCCUGAGGAACAUCUUCAAGGCUAUUAUGAGGACUAUUUGAAGCAUUUGACAGAUAAAGUCAUUCUGAUUGUCAACUAAAACUUUUCAUGGCAGCCAGCUAGUUAACUGCAGUUAUUUCUGCCCAUUUCACAAAUCCAACAAGGCAGGCAUGUUCCCUUCAUUAAACAAUGUCAUUUGAUGGGACCUCAGA